rnacentral:rRNA from 1 species
GAUGAACGCUGGCGGCGUGCUUAACACAUGCAAGUCGAACGGUGAAGGCGGAGCUUGCUCUGCUGGAUCAGUGGCGAACGGGUGAGUAACACGUGAGCAAUCUGCCCCUGACUCUGGGAUAAGCGCUGGAAACGGCGUCUAAUACUGGAUACGAGCUGCGAAGGCAUCUUCAGCAGCUGGAAAGAACUUCGGUCAGGGAUGAGCUCGCGGCCUAUCAGCUUGUUGGUGAGGUAACGGCUCGCCAAGGCGUCGACGGGUAGCCGGCCUGAGAGGGUGACCGGCCACACUGGGACUGAGACACGGCCCAGACUCCUACGGGAGGCAGCAGUGGGGAAUAUUGCACAAUGGGCGAAAGCCUGAUGCAGCAACGCCGCGUGGGGGACGACGGCCUUCGGGUUGUAAACCUCUUUUAGCAGGGAAGAAGCGAAAGUGACGGUACCUGCAGAAAAAGCGCCGGCUAACUACGUG